UACGGAGGGAGCUAGCGUUGUUCGGAAUUACUGGGUGUAAAGCGCGUGUAGGCGGCAGGCCAAGUCGGUGGUGAAAGCGCCCGGCUCAACUGGGCGAGGUCCAUGGAAACUGGUCAGCUGGAGGACGGUAGAGGCGAGUGGAAUUCCCGGUGUAGUGGUGAAAUGCGUAGAGAUCGGGAGGAACACCUGUGGCGAAGGCGGCUCGCUGGGCCGGUCCUGACGCUGAAACGCGAAGGCGUGGGGAGCGAACGGG
rnacentral:rRNA from 1 species